AAUCCGUGGUGUGGGCAUUUCUGAAUCAUCAUUUUAAAACACUCUCAUACUUCAUGAAAACUUUCUCCUUCUUAUUGUUUAAACAUAGAAAUUUCCCUUCUUAGUUG
rfam:Gossypium arboreum cultivar AKA8401 contig_9892_1, whole genome shotgun sequence.